rnacentral:lncRNA from 1 species
GGACUUCCGGACGCGGCCCUGCCCCGGGAACUGCGGGUGUUCAGGACCCUGUGGUGCGCGGGACGCCGCCCGCGCAUGCGCCGCGCCGGCUCAGCCCCGUUUUCGCAAGCUCUGCGUGGUCUUGGGUGGCGAGUUCGAGCCUUAGAACGGCCGAGUGCCCUGGAACCGGUUUCGGCUCUGGCGUCCUCGCGUGUCCUCCGGCUCCAGGUUACAACGUCAGUAUUGGCGCCUUGGCGCGGUCCCGUCCUGCUCUCGUCCUCCGUUCCGUGGACCCCGGGGCUGUUCUGGCGCCUCGCAGGCCGGGCCCCUCCCAUCGACUCGAUGGGCAGGGCUCUGCGAGGCUCGGGGACCGGGGACGCGCGGCCUUCCUGACAAGGAGCCCGAGGGUCUGCACAGCCUGGGGCACCACCCGGCCUGGUCGGAGGUCUGCACAUCACCCAGGAGGCUUACCAGUGGUAACCCAAGAAGAGGGAAGAUGGCAAGAGGGUCUUUGCAGGGUUGGGAGGGCAAGGAUGGAAGGACCUGGGAGGCCACAGCACCCUCUCGGACUUGGCGCAGAACCCGUGGAAACAGCCUGCGAUGCACGGAUGGAGGUGGCUUUGCCCUGUGUCUGCUGGUGCCUCUGGAACUCCGGCUCUGACAGACGCUGCGUCUCCUGCUGACUGCUGCAUCCCAAGAUGAGCCCAGCGCUUGCACACAGGGCGUCCCAAAGUGUUUGUUGAACAAAGGCAUGAUCAGUGUUGGUAUUGCCCUGAGACUCAUGCCCUCAGCCCCGAUUCGGGCACAUGGCUCAUGUCAACCGCUGGAAGUCCCUCUGGGGCCCACAAAUGUCUCUAGACCACAGGAAGAGUCGGCCUGGCUCCAUGUGCCUGGCGCCUGGGGCAGAAAGGUGGACGGGGCAAUCAGAGUGGUCACCAUCGGGGAGUACACUUUGCACUCCACUCGAGUCUCCAGGGAUAUAACUCACUGGAUCCUAAGUCUCACUUUCUGAGGGCCGUUCUUAGAGUCUCCUGUAUGAAAUCAGGCUACAUCCAGAGAAAGUUCCAGAAAUAAGAAAAGAUGAGAUCGCCUACUGACCCUCCCAUUUUUUGCACACGGACACUGAGGGAGGGGAGGAACUUGCUCAAGGGCACCACACAAUUUUUUUUUGAGAUGGAGUCUCAAAGAUGGAGAAUUCCUCCAACCAUGAGGAAUUUGAACGCUUAUCCCGAAUAGUGGAAAAUGAACGUCUCAUGGAGUUAGGGCCUGUCACCACCUGGGGAUCUACAGUCAGACAUGGCAUAGAGGAUGCCCUCCCAGAUCCCGCUCUGUCUCCCAGACUGGAGUGCAGUAGUGCCACCUUGGCUCACUGCAACCUCCGUCUUCCGGAUUCAAGCGAUUCUCUGGCCUUAGCCUCCUGAGUAGAUGGGAUUACAGGCGCACACCACCACACCCGGCUAAUUUUGUAUUUUUACUAGAGAUGGGGCUUCACCAUGUUGGCCAGGCUGGUCUUGAACUCCUGACCUCAAGUGAUCCACCUGCCUCAGUCUCCCAAAGUGCUGGGAUCACAGGCAUGAGCCAACAUACCCAGCCCACCCCAUGAGUUAUUGCUAGAGUGGUGGGGUAGGGACCCGGCCCCCAGCUCUCAGUGCUGGACAUGGGCAGGGUGGGCAUGGGUUCCCUUCCAGCCCUGGCAGAGCCCUGGACCAUGCGUGCUUUUCCCCUCAAGUGUCGAGGCAGGCAGGGCUGCUGCAUAGAAUACAAGAUGCCCCAUUGAGAUGGAAUCUCAGACAAAUGAGUCAUGUUUUACUGUAAGCAUAUCCCAAAUAUUUCAUGGGACACACUUAUACUAAAACUUAUUCAUUGUUUAUCUGAGCUUCAAAUGUAGUGGAGUGCCCUGUAUUUUUAUUUGCUAAAUUUGGCAGCCCUAGUAACGGGAGCUGGAAGGCUUUUGUUAUUUGCCCUCAAGCAGCAUUUCCUGGCAUUGGCUUCAGUGACCAGUUGUCUCUUGAAAUGUCCCAUGGACAGAAGGGAAGAAAACUGGGAAAUACUGUGUUAAAUAAACUUGCACAAUUCCUUUUUUUUUUUCUUUAAAGAAAAGCCUAGCCGGGCGUGGUGGCUCACACCUGUAAUCCCAGCACUUUGGGAGGCCAAGAAGGGCGGCUCACAAGGUCAGGAGUUUGAGACUAUCCUGGCCAAUGUGUUGAAACCCCAUCUCUACUAAAAAUAAAAAAAUUAGCUGGGUGUGGUGUCGGGUGCCUGUAAUCCCAGCUACUUGGGAGGCUGAGGCAGGAGAAUUGCUUGAACCCAGGCGGGAGGUUGCAGUGAGCUGAGAUCACGCCGCUGCACUCCAGCCUGGGCAACAGAGUGAGACUCCGUCUCAAAAAAAAAGAAAAGAAAAGAAAAGAAAAAAGCCUAUUAGUUGGCAGGAGGGCUUAUGAAAAUGAGGCCUGGGGGAUGUGUCAUUUACUCAACUGUCUUGGCUAAUGGGAUCUCUAGGCUGGUGAGGUUGCGUUCUGUGUUUUUUUUUUUUUUUUUUUUUUUUUUUGAGACGGUGUCUCGCUCUGUUGCUGAGGGUGGAGUGCAGUGGUGCGAUCUCGGCUCGCUGCAACCUCUGCCUCCCAGGUUCAAGCAAUUCUCAUGCCUCAGCCUCCAGAGUAGCUGGGAUUACAGGCAUGUGCCACCAUGCCCAGCUACUUUUUUGUGUUUUUUCUAGAGACAGGAUUUCACCAUGUUGGCCAGGUUGGUCUCGAACUCCUGACCUCGAGUGAUCCGCCCACCUUGGCCUCCCAGAGUGCUGGGAUUAUAGGCGUGAGGCACCGCUCCUGGCUGUGUUCUAUGUUCUGUAAAGGAAAACAGUGCAGGUAGGAGAAAAGAGGGGCCUGGGAAGGGAAGAAAACAGCAGGGAAGAGGAGGGCUGAAGACAGAGCAGGAGGAAGGCUGAGUGGCUUUAGCUCUUUGGCCUAACCCAGACCAGUCAGAGUUCACUCUGGGCACCUCCCAGUGGCAGCCACUUGAUUUGCAGGCAAAGAGCUUGGAGACCGGCUCUGCAAAUUCAGCCUUAUCCAUGUCCACAUGGGUAUGGCCCCGGAAAGCACUCAACAAAUAUGCACUAAAUGGAUGACUUCAGGCAGUGAUCCAGAUUAUUCAGAGCAGAAAGCUGCUUGGGCUCUGAUUACAGAAAAGUACUCCCCGCUCAUCCGGAUGCAGGGAUACCUUCCAAGACCCCCUGUGGAGGCCUGAAACUGUGGAUUGUACCGAACUGUAGAAAUACAGUACUGUUUUUUUUUCCUAUACAUACAUACCUAUGAUAAAGCUAGGCACAGUAAGAGAUUAACAGUAAUUACUAAUGAUAAACAGAACGAUUGCCACAAUAUACUGCUGUAAUAAAGUUAGUGUGUGUGAUCUCUCUUUCACAAUAUCCUAGUGUUCCAUGCUCACCUAGUUUCCGGCCACUAUUGACCGUGGGUACCUGAAAUUGCAGAAAGCAGAAACUCAGAUAAGCAGGGACUACUGUACUCUUUUUUUUUUUGAGACAGAGUCUCGCUCUCACCCAGGCUGGAGUGCAGUGGUGUGAUCUCGGCUCGCUGCAACCUCUGCCUCCCAGGUUCAA